CGCGGGGGCAACCCUGGCGGCGAGCGGCGAACGGGUGAGUAAUGCAUCGGAACGUAUCCCGUAGUGGGGGACAACGCCGGGAAACCGGCGCUAAUACCGCAUAUGCUCUACGGAGGAAAGUGGGGGACCUGAGGGUAACCGAGGGCCUCACGCUCUGGGAGCGGCCGAUGUCCGAUUAGCUAGUUGGUGGGGUAACGGCUUACCAAGGCGACGAUCGGUAGCUGGUCUGAGAGGAUGAUCAGCCACACUGGGACUGAGACACGGCCCAGACUCCUACGGGAGGCAGCGGUGGGGAAUUUUGGACAAUGGGGGCAACCCUGAUCCAGCCAUGCCGCGUGCGGGAAGAAGGCCUUCGGGUUGUAAACCGCUUUUAGUCGGGAAGAAAGGGCGCGGGUUAAUACCCUGCGUUGUUGACGGUACCGGCGGAAUAAGCACCGGCUAACUACGUGCCAGCAGCCGCGGUAAUACGUAGGGUGCGAGCGUUAAUCGGAAUUACUGGGCGUAAAGCGUGCGCAGGCGGUUCGUUGUGUCUGCUGUGAAAGCCCCGGGCUCAACCUGGGAAUGGCAGUGGAAACUGGCGAGCUGGAGUGUGGCAGAGGGGGGUGGAAUUCCAGGUGUAG
rnacentral:rRNA from 1 species